rnacentral:tRNA from 1 species
GAGGGGAUAGCUCAGUGGUACAGUACAUGCCUAGCACGCAUGAGGUCCUGGGUUGAAACCCCAGUACCUCCA